rnacentral:rRNA from 1 species
ACUAGCAUAUCAAUAAGCGGAGGAAAAGAAACCAACAGGGAUUGCCUCAGUAACGGCGAGUGAAGCGGCAAGAGCUCAGAUUUGAAAGCUAGCAUCUUUGAUGUUCGCAUUGUAAUCUGUAGAGGAGUGUUCGAGCAUAGCUUUGACCCAAGUUCUUUGGAACAAGAUGUCAUGGAGGGUGAGAAUCCCGUUCAUGGUUGUUGUCUUAUGCUUAUGUGAAUCUCCUUCAAUGAGUCGAGUUGUUUGGGAAUGCAGCUCUAAAUGGGUGGUAUAUUUCAUCUAAAGCUAAAUAUCAGCAGGAGACCGAUAGUGCACAAGUAGAGUGAUCGAAAGAUGAAAAGAACUUUGGAAAGAGAGUCAAACAGUACGUGAAAUUGUUGAAAGGGAAGCACUUGCACCCAGACUUGCUUUCAGUUGAUCAACUAUCAUUUUUGAUUGUGCACUUAAUUGUAAGCAGGCCAGUAUCAGUUAGAGUGGUGGGGCAAAGGUGUUGAGAAUGUAGCUCUUUCGGGAGUGUUAUAACUCUUCAUGUCAUAUCAUCUGCUCUGACUGAGGUUCGCACUUUGGUGAGGAUGCUGGCUUAAUGGGUGCAAGUGACCCGUCUUGAAACACGGACCAAGGAGUCUAACAGUUGUGCAAGUGUUUGGGUAUAAAACCCUUAUGCGUAAUGAAAGUAAAUGGAGGUGAGAACCGCAAGGUGCAUCAUCGACCGAUCCUGAUGUCUUCAGAUGGAUUUGAGUAAGAGCAUAGCUGUUGGGACCCGAAAGAUGGUGAACUAUGCCUGAAUAGGGUGAAGCCAGAGGAAACUCUGGUGGAGGCUCGCAGCGGUUCUGACGUGCAAAUCGAUCGUCAAAUUUGGGUAUAGGGGCGAAAGACUAAUCGAACCAUCUAGUAGCUGGUUCCGGCCGAAGUUUCCCCUUAGGAA